rnacentral:lncRNA from 1 species
CCACACAUGUUAUACUUGCAUUCAAAACGAUUUCCAAUUGCUUUUCAAUAACCCAUGAAUUCUUAACGCCCCAAGUUAAUUAGGUCCGCUUAAAUUAACCUUCAGAUUUUUCUAACGUUAUUGAAUUGGAUGAUUGCAUACGACAACCCAAAGCAUUCCCCACAAGUUCCCUACAUGAUUGCAUAAUAAAGAUACAAGCAAGAAUCAUUAAGUUCUAUGAAAACCAUAAGCAUUGACGAAGCACUUGUUACUAUGAUUG